rnacentral:rRNA from 1 species
UACGUAGGGAGCGAGCGUUGUCCGGAAUUAUUGGGCGUAAAGAGCUCGUAGGCGGUUUGUCGCGUCUGCUGUGAAAACGCGAGGCUCAACCUCGCGCCUGCAGUGGGUACGGGCAGACUAGAGUGCGGUAGGGGAGAUUGGAAUUCCUGGUGUAGCGGUGGAAUGCGCAGAUAUCAGGAGGAACACCGAUGGCGAAGGCAGAUCUCUGGGCCGUUACUGACGCUGAGGAGCGAAAGCGUGGGGAGCGAACAGG